rnacentral:rRNA from 1 species
UACGUAGGGUGCAAGCGUUGUCCGGAAUUAUUGGGCGUAAAGAGCUCGUAGGCGGUUUGUCGCGUCUGCCGUGAAAGCCCCGGGCUCAACCUGGGAAUGGCGGUGGAUACUGGCGGACUAGAGUGCGGUAGAGGGUGGUGGAAUUCCCGGUGUAGCAGUGAAAUGCGUAGAGAUCGGGAGGAACAUCUGUGGCGAAGGCGGCCACCUGGACCAGCACUGACACUGAGGCACGAAAGCGUGGGGAGCAAACAGG